GCUUACUAUUGGAUGAAAACGGACCGCAAGAAAAAGAUUCAGCUUGACGUUGGACGUUCGAUAUUCGCAGAUAUGCGGAAAUUAAGGGACCGUCUCUAAAGUUACAUACGACAUUGUUAAACACGAUUCAACUUCAAUAGCAUUUGAAGGGAAUGACUUACAGUCAUAUAACCAACUGUAAAGUGUUCAACUAGGUGUAAGAAAAUGAGAACUGAACUGAACUGAAAUUUUUUGGGUCACGGGGAACCUGGAGCCUAUCCCAGGAAGCAUCAGGCACAAGGCAGGGUACACCCUGGACAGGGUGCCAGUCCAUCGCAGGGCAUAAUCACAUACACACUCACACACCCAUUUGAUACACCAAUCAGCCUAC